ACUUCUUCCUCUCACAUUGCCCUUUUCCUCCUUCUCAUCAGAUUUCAGGGAUAUGGCCAUAACUCAAAGCUCAAAAUUUCCCAUAUCUUUUGUAUGGACUCCAUUUCAAGAUGCUCUGUAUCUCAGCACUUCACGGACAUCCACGGUAGCUAGGAACUGGCUUCCUGCCCAUUCUCUGUACCUGUGACUAACUCUAAGACAUUGAGCACAAAUGAGUUAGCUGUAGUGGCUGCCCUGGAAUUGAGUUCUUGAGUCUGCGGGACAGUCCUGAGGUGUUGCUUUAUACUUUCGCUCCUUUUGAAGAUCCUAGAAGGACCUCCUGUGGCUUCUACAAAGUGACUCAGAGAAGCACAGUAUGGGACCUUGGUGGUUUCUCUGAUACACUCUAUUAAAUUGUUAAAUGGCUCUGCAGCAUUAUUACAAAGUUAGGCAAGCCUGGCUCACCCAAUAGGACAGGAGUUUAAGCUUUAGAAUUUUCCCUAUUUUCCACCUGCCCCCCCAGCCACCUGGUGUUAAGUGGCAUAUAUUUUGUUUUACAAGAAAGCUAGGGACACUUUUUCACGUCAAAAGUCACCCUUAAGACUUACUUAGGCAAACAUUAUUAUUCAUUUUAGAAGGAUUUUAUAGCAGUCGAAGUCCUGGAGAAUAAGUACGUUUGACUGAUCUCGGUGAUACAACAUUGUUGGUAUCACUAAUCCCACAGCCAUCUUUUUUUUUUUUUCCUCAGGACAAGGGAGGUAAUUUUCUGAAAAUUACGUUGUUUUCUAAAAUAGCUCUUUUCAAUGCUAUCCAUCUACCUUCUGGCAGCACAGUUUAAUUUGCAUUUAAAUCAUUUCCUGAUAUUGUAGGAAAAGUAAUUAUACAUAACACUACCAAUUUUCAAGCCCCAGCUUUUAAUCGGUCCACAGUCAAAUCCCUCUUCUAUGUUCUAAAACCACUUCCCCAAAACGUAAAAUUCCCAAAUACCAGCCCUGGUUUCUUUCUUAAGGCCCCUUCAUUUGCUAGCACAUCUCAUGUAUUAAAUUUGUGUCAAUAGAAAAAUAUGGUGGUAUUUCUAUUCCCAUUUUUCUUUUGGGUUGUGUCACUUUGGUUUGCUGACUUUUCCCUCAUAUGAAGGUUUAACUCCACCAGCUGAGCAGAAGACCUUCAGAGGAUUCCACACGCAUGACACUAAAAUCACUUCAACCAAUUCUUUUAUCACAGUUACAGAUGUUGGAUCAUGGCCCGAUUCUGAGAUUUUAGUGCAGAUGAAGCGGGAAACCGAUGUAGUUUGUGCCAACAUGGCCACGGGGCACACAGUUUUGAUUAGGUAUAACUUGACUGUAUGCUACCUGCUUGGUUCUAGAGGCAUUUUUCACACUUAGAUCCAGAUGCAAUUGCAGAGUUCUUGGACCUUGCAGGAUUUUGAUUCAUAUUAAUUAUUCAACAACAAAAAAAAUCCACUGGAUAUCUACAUCACUCUUAACAAGACACCAUAUCAUAUUAAAGGAGAACACUCUUGAAAGCUGCUUGAUAUGUCACUGUUUUUUUCCUUCAGAAAGAUAGUGUCUUAUAAAAAAUGAGGUGUAUUUUUCAGAGCUCUG
ensembl:lncRNA